rnacentral:lncRNA from 1 species
GCCUAUCUAAGGUGUCAGAAGUUAGUAUAUUGCAUGUUAUUGUGUGUGUCUGUGUGUUGUAUGUGCAACAUGCAGAAGUUGUCCAAAAAUGAUAUUGCCAGUAAGCUCUGGGGGAGGGGGGCAAAGGGGUUGUUGUUAAUAUUGGAAAUUAAAAAAGGAAAAGAAAGAUUAAAAGGAUGCAGUAAUAUGAAGUGGUAAGAAUGCCUAGAAUGACAAAACCUAAAGAAAUGCUCAUAUUCAGUAAAGCAAGUGAAACAUGGCUGGAUUUGCAUGUAAAUUGCCAGGACAAACUGAAGUGAGUCCAAUUCCUGUAAGACUGUAUCAGACCUAUAGUCCCUCAUACUUUGUACCUGUGUACACUCAGUAGGCAUCUUAAUCAUCAGUAGACAGAGCCAUAUGCCAUGUAUAAGGAAACUAUGUUUCAUUAUUCAUGGGACAAGGUUCUGCUGACAAUAUAUUCAUUUACUGUUCUGCACAAAAGUAUAAAACCGCAUUCAUACCAAGAGAAAGCUUUACAUUACAGAACACUACACAUCUCACUCCAAGCGACUAUUCCCAUUACAUACAAAUCUGAGACCUAGUGAGAAUGGAGGUGGUAAAUAGAGUAGUCCAAACUCCCCUUACUUUCUUUGAGAAAUUAUGCCACUCAAAUGGGUAUAAUCACAGUUCUUUACCAACAUAUAAGCUCUAUAUCCGGAGAAUUGGGGGAACAUGAAAUAUCUAAACCUAUAGGAGGUCAAUCUGAGGGAGGUGCUGAAGGGCAUUGAAUGGGAGAGUAUAGGGGAGGUGUUUGCCAGAUCUUUAAUUUGCGUUACGCUCCAAGAGCAAUCAUUCAAGACAAUGUUCCGCUAGUACACAAUUCCGGUUAAGUUGUACCACAUGGUAAAGACCGACACUGAUAGUUGCUGGCACAAGUGUGGGGAAAAGGAUACGUAUGUUCAUAUGUGGUAAGAGUGCCCACGGGUAAUUGGAUUAUGGAAAGCUGUACAUAAAAUAAUAGCCGAUCUACUGCAGAGACACAUUGAUCCGAGCCCCUGGGCCUUUCUAGACCCUUUAAAGGAUUGCCUGGUAGCAUCCUAGCUCUAGCAGCACACAAAACAUUGGCACAGUCAUGGCAUAAACCAGAUAUGUGCACAAAUUCUCAAACAUAAAAGAUGUCUACCUAAUGGACAAACUGAUGGCUCAGGUUAGACACACAUCAUCCAAAUUUAAUAAAGUGUGGGCUCCAUGGGAACAGUAGAGUGCAGGAUAAAACUAGAAAACGGAUGUCAUUCAGCCCCUAGCCCCAAUACCACAGUUUUCUUUUGAGUAGAAAUCUUGGCAUCCACAAAUGUAUCACCAAUAUCCGUAAGAUCACAGAGAACAUAGAUAUAUUGAUCUGGUGAACCAUCAAACAACAUAACAUCCCUGUUAAUCUCAUUCUGAAUUAGUUUUUUUACAUUAUUAAAAUACAUUAACUUUUGCAAUAUAUACACUAUAAAUGUCGACCAAGCCUAAACUUGUUAACUUCUUCUUUACAUGACACUACUUAAAGAAUUGAAAAGGAAAAAAAGUAUAAGACCGACC